rnacentral:lncRNA from 1 species
CAAGGAAUAUGUAUAAGAUCUCUUAUUUGUGUAUAAGUAAAAAAUCAUUAAAAUUUUCAUUUGUCCCACAACUUUUAUAGGAAGAAAGAAUACCUACAAGAUCUCCUAUUUUUAUAGAAGUCCAAAAUCAAAUACUACAAGCUAGCUGUAAACCUAAACAACAAAUCAAGGCUCAUUGGUGGAAAGCAGCAAUUCCAUCAGAGUGACUUCAUUACCUUUAUCAUUAUUUUUGUUGUAAAUGAAUAUAUUUAUGUGCAAAUCCACUACAUGUUAUGAAGAAUGCACCUCUUGUGUCUCCUUUGGUUGCUACGAGUGUCGCUUUUAGAGACUGUCAGUAAUGCACUUGCAUUUAUUAUAUGGAGAAUCCGUAGCCCUAAUCUCCCAUAAUCAUCACUUUGGCUUAAUGAUUACGUAGAUUAGAAGUUUCAUUCUUUAGAAUUUGAUGUAAACUAUACGUAAACUCCAUAUUGAUUUGGAGUUGGUUUUAAAGAACAUAAUGGCCCAAGCUUCAUCACAACUUUUAAUUGAAAUCUAGAUCCACAUGUCAUCUUCCAUCACAUAGUACACAAAUCCCUACAGUGCUAGGGCAGCAUCUGCACAGGCUCUGGGCGUGGAGAUGGUGGACGACAAGGCUCACUAACUAAUCAUCAUUUGUUUAGGUUCUGUGGUAGCCAUGCAUUGGAUGCACUUAUUAAAAGUUAUAUGAUGGGUGAUGAUUAGACUUGAAAAUUUGUGUUCAAUUUGGGUUUUAAAGAAGAGAAAGAAAACUCUUUGGAAUUAAUGUGUGAAGAACU